rnacentral:rRNA from 1 species
UGGGGAAUAUUGGACAAUGGGCGAAAGCCUGAUCCAGCUAUGCCGCGUGGGUGAAGAAGGCCUUCGGGUUGUAAAGCCCUGUCGGGAGGGAAGAAAAAAAUGACGGUACCUCGCAAGAAAGCACCGGCUAACUCCGUGCCAGCAGCCGCGGUAAUACGGAGGGUGCAAGCGUUGCUCGGAAUCACUGGGCGUAAAGCGACCGCAGGCGGUCUGACAAGUCGGAUGUGAAAGCCCUGGGCUCAACCCAGGAACUGCAUUCGAAACUGGCAGACUUGAGUACGGGAGAGGGGGGUGGAAUUCCUGGUGUAGGGGUGAAAUUCGUUGAUAUCAGGAGGAACACCGGCGGCGAAGGCGGCCCCCUGGCCCGCAACUGACGCUCAUGGUCGAAAGCGUGGGGAGCAAACAG